GAAAUACUCAAGUUAAUAAAGAUUAAAAAGAAAAAAAGUAGAAUGAGAACAAUAGCAGGAGAAAUGCUUGGCCCCAACAUCUGCAAAGCCUCAGUGCAGUCAAAUGGUGGCUGAGGCGAAUGAUUUCUCUUAGAAGAGACUCUUUGCUCUACUCCAGCAUCUACAGUUUGAUUCUAUUUUUAUCCCGUAUUCCAGCCUGCCAGUAUGAACAGAGCCGGGAACGCCAUUCCUUGUCUCUCAGAGCUGCAAUAUUGGAAGAGAGGGUAGGGGAAGGGCCGAGAGUACUCUGCUCAGCCACAAAAUGCCCGUCUGGUGUUCAGUGUGGGUCUCCAUGGGUCACGAAGGCUGCACACUCAACUGGGCAGCAGCGUAACGGGUAACUAUGUAAGACGUGGUGCCAGAAACAGGGCAGACGGGCAGCCUCUGGGGUUGCACAACUUAGCAUCUGUGGAGGGAGACAGUUGGCUGUGAUAAGGAAGUCAUCCAAGAGAGGUUCUCAGAAUGGCUGCAACUGGGGUUCUGGGAGGGAGAGCAGCUGCAACUGGGGUUCUGGGAGGGAAGGGCUCAUGCUGUAGGAGGCAGGAGGAGCUGGAUGGAGCCCUAGGCAGGAAGUGGUUCUGAAGAUGAGAAAUGAGCUGGCAGAAAGAAAGACGACUGCCACUGAGAUGGAGAUGCUCGCUGGCGUGCUGGAAAGAGGUUUUAGCUCCAUAGGGCAGGGCUGUGUGGUGGGCUCUGACUGAGAGAAACCUUUAGCAGUUCCUGGUUGGGGACCUGCAAGAUUGGUAAGAGCCAAGCCUGGAAGACUAAGGCACUGCCUUUUGUCUUAGUUUGCUAGGGUCCAGGCUAGAUUUGGGGUUUUUUAUCUCUUCCUAUGAACAGAAGGGAGAAAUCAGCACAGGAAACAAAAUCAAUUUAAAUAUAUUUAUGGGGCAGAUCUGUCCCCGGUUUGCUGAUCCUACAGAUUUCCUAAGAGGAGGCUCCAGCCAGCGUUUGCUCAACAUCCAUUUACUGUUGACCAAACACAGAGGCUGUCUGUGCUGACUCAUGUUCCAAUUAACAGGAAGCCAGGCAUCCCCUGAAACAUCUGCAGAAAUGGAGCUUCUGAGGAGCGAUGGCAAGGAGCCAGUAGCUGGGCUCCCCUUCCCAUAGCCUGCUCCUGGUUCCAGACACUGCCCUCAACUGCAAUGGAAAGGAGGGUUCCACAGACACUGCUGAUCUCUAGUUUCCCGGCAGAUCCCUGGCCUGGCCUGUAUCUCAGAGAAUAGAGGCUUCUUCAGAGAGCAGCUGUACAGCCUUUCCCUCCCCAGGAGGCUCAAUAGCCAGUUCCUCUUCUUCCUCACACAGGCUCAAACCUUGUCACGACUGGUUCUAAGUAAUUAUUCAUCUUCCAGGGGCUUGUGGGUAAGAUGACAGCCACCAUGGCUUCCUUUCCUAAGAUGUGGGGAUGGCCGCUCUAUUCCCAGACUACGUACAUGGCUGUCUUAGAGCAAACAUUGAGGCCUUCAAUGCAGCCUGUUUCUCCUUCUCAUGUGCCAAGCUGUGCCUUGCAUGAGGUUCAUUCAUUUUACCAGGCACUGUCUCAGGACCACAGGCUCUGCAGUCUCAAACCUGCACUUCAGGGACAGCCACAUUUCGGCUUCUAGGUUACCUUCUAAAAGGAGCCUGGUCACUGCUGUCCCCUUCGGUAUUCACCUGAGGCACAUGCUACUUCUUUAUACCAACUUUUCAUAUAUUAUUUACUUUUUGUGGGCAUCUCCCACAGACUUUCUGAUUUAUUGGGGCAGGGUCACUUCCUGCCUCCCUGAUAACUGAAUGGUGUCUACAACAAGAACAACAAGAGGCUUCCAAUCAACACUCUCUUUUUUCUUUUUGAUGGCGGGUAACGCUGGGGACAGAGCCCAGGGCCUCACAAAUGCAGGACAAGCAAUUGUGAGCCACCUCCCCAGCCUCCCAGUCAGUGAUCAUUUGAUCGGUAAAUCAGUAUUAACCCUUGCACUUUUGUUUGAGGCUCAUGAAUGCAGAAACCUCUGUGACCUGCUUGAGUCAUCGGAAUCUGCUUGGCAAUCUUAGUUUAGAUAAUUAAGUCCAGUUCUACUUUAUUACAAGAAGAUAACCAGUCACAGGGCGGCGUCAGGAAGGGGCAGGAGCGGGUGCCUCAAAUGGGGGGAAUGAUGGCUUUUGUUUCUGAUAUUGGAAGGGAAACGGAACCCACCUCUUAAAAGCAGCCAGCCAUCUCUGAGGCCAUAAUUAUCUCUGACUUGAGAAGGAUGAGCCCUACCAGGCUCGUCUCUUUCUCUGUCCAAGCAAACCAGUUAACAACCACCAUAAACAUGGGUUCCCAGUCCUGGGAGGAUCAAAACCCAUGUAACUCCCAGAUAAAAGCUCAUAAGAAUGCCACCAUUCAGUUAAAGUCUGGAGACCGAAGUCUGCAAUUACUUUUCUUCCUUCUGGGGGAUGCUGUCCUGCUAGAACUUGUAAUGCAUCCUUGGAGUUAUUUCAGUUGGGGGCGGGGAGUAGUUUCACAAACAUCCUGGCUCACAUUGAGCUUGAGUCGUUAAUGUUCAAACAUCCCGGGCAGAUUCACACAGGUAGAAAUGCCGACCGUUUGUGUAGGAGCUGACUAAUAAGGGACCCUGUCAUGAGACUCCUGGGGGCUUCCACAGAGAAAAGAACCUGGCCCUGUUCAGAAGCUGUCCUGGUGUGGGUCUGUGAUUAGGUCACCAUCUCUGGGGUCUCUAAACUCCUGUGUACAUGGCUUAGAAGAGCUCAACGACUCCUAAUGCACACAACAAAGUUGAUAGGGCAAUGGGGAUGCCGAUUACCCUGGUUUGCUCAGUGAAUGUCAUGCAAAUGUCUUGUGCUAUCACACGGGCUACAGCUGUUGCAAGCUGGGUUUGCCUGCUCUCCUGUGAUCUCAGAAGCUAAGCAGGGUUGGGCUUGGUUAGAAGUCAGAAAAUAGAGCUGGCCGUAUCAUAUCAGACCCUGGAAAUAUACAACGAUUACAUGCUAAUUUUAGGUAAGAUGAGAACAGGUGCUUCAGUGUGCCACCCACUGCCUGUAGGUGCCGUUAGAGCGCUUUCAUGCUUUUGCCAGUUUGUUCCAGGACAAGUCUUGGCUUAUCCUCCAUUACCUCCAAGCCACUCUCCGUCAGCACUGCCAUUGCCACCCCUGGAUAAACCCCACUGUUCUCCACCCACCUCCUUCAGGGUCUUUCAGCAAUCCUGUCAGCCCAGUUUCUCAGGAAGCGCCCCCUCCCUACACAGCUUCCACAGGAUCUAGGAGCAGUUCAAAUCCUGCUGGGAACAUUCUGAAGGAGGUGGCUGUCUCUCACGGGACUUGAGUUCUGGUUCUUAGGUUACCAAGAAUGCCACAUUGACCCCAGGAAGUGUUAUACAUGCACACAGAGUCGAGAGGACAGUUAGAGGAGAACCCACCAUGUGGGUUCUCUGGGGGCUGAACUAGGGUAGUCCUGCUCGGCAGUGCCCACCUUCACCCAUGGUUGGCCUGUCCAAACAUCCUUUAAUGUAGAAAGUUCCCCCUCCUGAACUAACAACUGGAUCUCCUAAUCUUCUGUUUUCCCAAUUCUUUCUACUUUUCAGUGAAGUAAGUGUAAGUACUUAAGACAGGCACUCCCAGCACGAAGUAAGCCUUGUUUUCAAAAUUCCGAAAACCUCUGCUUAUAACAUUCUAAGGUAUUCCAGGUGCUUGGGUUUCGGGAUCUACCUUGGCUGAUGACAGUGGAGCGUCUUAGAAAUGAUCUCGGGGCUGACUUGUCCGGCAAGUGUAACUCCUGCCUGAUUUUUUUUUUUUACUUUGUAAUUAUUUAACUUAUAACUUAUUAGUUAGGUGCUUUUUACAAAAAAAGGUGGUGUCUUGGCUUGUGGGUAGCUAUGUUUAGUCAUGGCUGGGUAGGCUGGGAGUCAGUCAAGUGCAGACUCUGAGAACAGAGGCUGCCUGGGAUUUGGCUUGCUACCAGGUAGGGGUUCUCUUUAACUUGUAGGAUAGAGUUGGCACGGGAGGAAGAAAAGAAACAUGAUUGAAAGGCUGAAGGCAGACUUAGGACAUAGUAGACGCAAAGAUAUGUGAAGGAAUGUUCUCUCAGGCAGAAAAACAGCGGAGUGUGGUGUGGGGGGUGUUCUGAGAGAGGGAGAGAGAGAGGUUGUUCUUAACUGCAGAUCAGCCUUUUGGAAGAAGCCUAUACUCACCGAGUGGAUGAUGCCCUGGAGAGCCUGGAAGCCGUCAUUCACAGGAAAGACGUGGUCCUUACUGUCUGCAAUCCGAGCCAACUGAGGACAGACACACAGACAGCAUUUCUUCUAGGUUCUGCCCCACAGUUACCUCGCAACAGCCAGGUAUGCUUGACUCACUAUAAAAGGGGCUGCUUGCCCCCUCCUCACCCUCUUACUUUCUCUCCCUUCUUGUCCCAUUCUCCUCCCACCUCUCUCUCCUUGUUUUCCUGGUUGGCCUCUUCUCUCUCUUUCCCUCUGGUUCCCCCUCCCCGCCCUGUCUCUGUCUCUGUCUCUACUCCCUCCUCAACUCCCCUUCUCAUGCCCUAAAUAAACUCUAAGGGAUGUCUCAACAUGGGCUCACAGAGGCACCCCAUAACCUCACCAUACCACGCCUCUACGAAACAUAUCCUCUUCCUUCCUUUCUUUCUUUCUUUCUCUCUCUCUCUCUCUCUCUCUCUCUCUCUCUCUCUCUCUCUCUUUCUUUCUUUCAUAUAAAACACAACACUUGGGAGCAGAGGUAAGACUGUCUAGUAGGAUGAACACACAACUUGGCGUGAUGCCAUUUGUAGAUUUGAGGGCCACUGACUUUUUCUCACUCAAAUAUCUGCGGGUUAAUUUAUCCGAGUCAAACAGACACCAGGCCUCUUAGAGCAACUUCAGAACCAAAUUGAGGCCCUUGUUGUUACACCAGGCUGAUGAGAGGGGUCCCCCACCUUUCACACCAACUGCCACCAGGGACAGGCCCAUUGCUUCAUUGGGUUCAUGAAGCAGGAGACGGAGGAUAAAGAACAGCUGACCAGGGGCUCCCAAUGUUCAUGGCUCUGGGACUGUAGAGGCCAUGUCAGUUUUACAUUUGUUUUUUUGUUGUUGUUACUGAUUGCAAAAGUAACACACCAUUUCUUAAAAAAAUUUUAGGGAACUACAAGAGUUAAAAUGAAGGAACAAACAAGGCCUGUUCAUAACUGACCUCUACUUAUGCAUUUGUAGUUAAGCCUUUCUGACAGUGGAUAUGUAUAGACGUGUUAAAUGCAGAUACAUGUUUGUUUUUCCUAAAAGUGGGCAGGAGUAUUCUCAUUGCUUUGUAAUCUAUGUUACUUCAUACCCACUGAGGAUGUGUGUCACUGUACGGGGCCACAGGGAAGAGCUCUUACUCAGGAUGUUAGCAGUUUCCGCUAUCUGGGCACACACCUCCAGCUAUUCUUACACAUUGGUGUUGAAAAUGCAUUCCAUUUUUAAUGAACAAAGGAAAUCUGUCACUUGAAAAAGCAAGUUGUACUUGCCAAAUUUUUAGAGAGUGUUCUAAGUUAAUUGAGAGCUGUGUUAACACCUUGGUGACUUAAUGUUACCUGGAAAGUUGAACAAGAGAAGUGUGCCCUGGCCUGGGUGGUCUGUGUUAAGACCCCAGAAACCUCAGAAGGUGCCUAAUUCUUCACACAGACAGAAGUGUCUUCUUGCCAGCUUCCUAGAAAAGCAUCCUACUUGAGGGCUGUGUAUUGUGCAGGUGCCCCGCUGUGCUGGCUGCUCUGUGUUCUCUCCCAAACAGCACAUCUCCAAACAGGAGACCCAGGCUCAUACCUGAGUUUCAUUGAAAUCCUUCACGCCAACGCAGUAGACGAUCGCGCCAAGGUCUCGGGAUCUGUUAGCCUGUGUCAAAGAGACAAUGGAUAUUAAAGGGAAUCAAAGAAGCAGGCCUUCUCUUGAUUUUAAGACUGCCAUCAACCAUGGGGUGUUUCCUGAGCACCUACUGUGUGGCAGGUGGCACAGGAAAGGAGUAAGGUAGAUCCCAAGGAGCCUGUAUUCCACUGUGUGGGUCAGAGGGCAGUGGUCACUUUAGGGCGUCCCCUGCCAAAGUUGACUUGAGGGACAGCGCUGGAAGAUGCGGGAGUGACUGGGGCAGAUAAAUCACAUCAUGCAUCCAGGCUGAAGUGGGUUUUAUUGGCAUACACUGUUUUUCCUGCUGGGGAUGGCCACACAGUAUUACAAACGAAUGUGGCUGUUGGCACCCGAUACCCCUGUUCGGAUGCUUGGCUUCACUCUGUAAAGUGCCUGGAGAAUUAACUGUGGUCAUCCGCACAGAGCUCACGGAUAUUGUGAUGCGUCUACAGUCAGCAUCGUCUGGGAACCAGGCCUUUCUCGCAGCCACGGAGUGAAGUGGUUUAACGGUUUUUACCAAGAGCGACUUGUUUUGCCUGAACACAGAGCGGGGUCGUGUUGGAGAAAGGCCCUGGUCUCCUCACCCUCGUCCAGCUCUGAGCUGCAUGCUGGGUCCCCUUUCCUCACUGAGACCCAGUGGCUGCUACUCACCUCCCUCUCCGAAUAGAAGAAGAGGUCCUCGUGCAGCUCCCCAUCCGUCAGAGCAAUGAUGACACUUGCUGUCCUGUAUCCUGCUCGAAACAGCAAAGGCCCUGUAACUCAUGCUGAACUGCCAGGAACACCCACCCUGCUCACUCCUGAGAUUUUGUCUCUUUCUGAACCCAGUCACUGAAAAUGAAUAUGGUGACAGUCAGUCUUGUUUUGGGGUAUGAAAACAACUCCAGCAUGAAGAAAACUCAGACAUCUGGGUUUCCCAGCCUCAUCUCGACAGGUAGGCCAGCUGAGAAGAUGGCUGCCGAACCAGCCUGUCCUUGCAGCCAGCUCCAGUGAGGGUCAGCAGGCCUGGGGCACAUUCCACACUUGGUCUGUACUGGACCUCCUCGAAUGCCAGAGCUGACCACAUGUACCACAUUUGGACGACAGUAUGCCAAGACAUAAUAUUUAUCAGAAUCUGCAAGCUGACCAGAAGUAAUACAGCUGUCGGAAAAACCUACUGGAAUGCUCCCGAUAUUAUUUAGACUUCCAGUAACAGUACUUAAAAUUGAUUUCGCUCAGCAAGUCUGGGGCCUGUCCUAUUUGUUGCAGUUUAACUACAAUCAAGCAGGAAGUGGUAUUAGGAGGAAAGUCCCCACAGUUAUAUGGAAUCUCACCGAAGAGACUAGGGUGACAGAUUGGACUGUUCUCCAUGAGGGAGACUAAUAAAAGUCAAAAUGAUGACAA